AAAAUCCGUCGACUUUAAAAAUCGUGAGGGUUCAAUCUAUCCCCA
rnacentral:tRNA from 1 species